rnacentral:lncRNA from 1 species
CUCCGACACAUUCUACAACACUCGGGCCUGUAUUAUAAAACUAACCUCCCUCGAAUGUAAACUGGUACAGCCACUAUGGAAAAUGGAGGAUUCUCAAGAAAUUAAAAAACAGAGCUAGCAUAUGAUCCAGCAAUCUCGCUUCUGGGUAUACAUCGGAAGGAAACAAAAUUAUUACCUCGAAAAGGUGACAGUGUUCAGGACGAGCUACCCCAAAAUAUGGCACUUUGGCAUAUUGAAUAUUUCAAGCUGAAAGAAUUUGAGAAACAACAGGCACAAGAAGGAUUUUCUGACCUUCUCCUGAAGCAAGUCUUAAGCCCUUCAAGUGAGAGGUGCCCUCCCUACACCCGGAAGAAAGGAAUAUCCUUAUCUCCAAAGACAGAGGGGCACCAAGAGC